rnacentral:rRNA from 1 species
UACGUAGGGAGCAAGCGUUUGUCCGGAAUCAUUGGGCGUAAAGCGCGCGUAGGUGGCCUCAUAAGUCCGCUGUGAAAGUCAAAAGGCUCAACCUUUUGAAAGCCGGUGGAUACUGUGAGGCUAGAGUACGGAAGAGGCGAGUGGAAUUCCUGGUGUAGCGGUGGAAUGCGCAGAUAUCAGGAGGAACACCAAUAGCGAAGGCAGCUCGCUGGGACGUUACUGACACUGAGGCGCGAAAGCGUGGGGAGCGAACAGG